AUUGAACGCUGGCGGCAGGCCUAACACAUGCAAGUCGAGCGGUAGCACAGGAGAGCUUGCUCUCUGGGUGACGAGCGGCGGACGGGUGAGUAAUGUCUGGGAAACUGCCUGAUGGAGGGGGAUAACUACUGGAAACGGUAGCUAAUACCGCAUAACGUCUUCGGACCAAAGUGGGGGACCUUCGGGCCUCACGCCAUCAGAUGUGCCCAGAUGGGAUUAGCUAGUAGGUGGGGUAAUGGCUCACCUAGGCGACGAUCCCUAGCUGGUCUGAGAGGAUGACCAGCCACACUGGAACUGAGACACGGUCCAGACUCCUACGGGAGGCAGCAGUGGGGAAUAUUGCACAAUGGGCGCAAGCCUGAUGCAGCCAUGCCGCGUGUGUGAAGAAGGCCUUCGGGUUGUAAAGCACUUUCAGCGAGGAGGAAGGGUUCAGUGUUAAUAGCACUGUUCAUUGACGUUACUCGCAGAAGAAGCACCGGCUAACUCCGUGCCAGCAGCCGCGGUAAUACGGAGGGUGCAAGCGUUAAUCGGAAUUACUGGGCGUAAAGCGCACGCAGGCGGUUUGUUAAGUCAGAUGUGAAAUCCCCGCGCUUAACGUGGGAACUGCAUUUGAAACUGGCAAGCUAGAGUCUUGUAGAGGGGGGUAGAAUUCCAGGUGUAGCGGUGAAAUGCGUAGAGAUCUGGAGGAAUACCGGUGGCGAAGGCGGCCCCCUGGACAAAGACUGACGCUCAGGUGCGAAAGCGUGGGGAGCAAACAGG
rnacentral:rRNA from 1 species